rnacentral:rRNA from 1 species
GACGAACGCUGGCGGCGUGCUUAACACAUGCAAGUCGAACGGAAAGGCCCCUUCGGGGGUACUCGAGUGGCGAACGGGUGAGUAACACGUGAGUAACCUGCCCUUGACUUCGGGAUAACUUCAGGAAACUGGGGCUAAUACCGGAUAGGAAUCCUUGCCGCAUGGUGGGGGUUGGAAAGCUUCGGCGGUUUUGGAUGGACUCGCGGCUUAUCAGCUUGUUGGUGGGGUAGUGGCUUACCAAGGCGUUGACGGGUAGCCGGCCUGAGAGGGCGACCGGCCACAUUGGGACUGAGAUACGGCCCAGACUCCUACGGGAGGCAGCAGUGGGGAAUAUUGCACAAUGGGCGGAAGCCUGAUGCAGCAACGCCGCGGGCGGGAUGACGGCCUUCGGGUUGUAAACCGCUUUCAGCAGGGGCGAAGCUUGUGGUGACGGUACCUGCAGAAGAAGCACCGGCUAACUACGUG